UAAAAAUGGUAGUACCUCAGCUUUUCGUUCCUGUAUGUAUUAAACAGUAACUAAAGGGACCUAAAUGAAUUCUCCCCAAAAGAACGACGUGGGUCAGAUCAGACUGACAGCCGGCGGAGGUUUUAGUCGAUUGCUUCUGCAGCUUGAAUUGAAUCGGGGUUGGGGUCUCUGUGAAACCUGCAUGGAGAUGCCUACUGACCGAUCUGAUUGGCAAAGGCGGCCUGGAUGCGACUCCCGAAAGGCCGAAACUUCGAUCUGACUUGAACCGCACAAAACAAGACAAGCACUUUACCGAUGAUAACCCAUCUCGUGGACAUCACGACGCAAUCAGGCUUGUUUGGUUUUGGUUGGUUGCUGCUGCAUGCUGCUGUUCAUGCGAAAUUGCGUCAGCUUUUUCAAGCUGUUGUUUGUUUACUUCUUCUCCAACCGUCAGGGCUCCCCCACAGCACACCACCGUCUGAUCUGACAGUAACACCUUCCCCUGGCUUGGCUUGGCUUCAGUAUCCCCCCGUGACAGACACACUCGUCCACUUCUUCCCUACUCACGUCAUCCCUAGAUCAUCGCCACGUGCCUCUGAUUAAUCCUGCCAUACAUUAUUGUGUUGCAGUAAUACUACGGUAGAUAUUUACCGGAAAGACUGAAUUGAGCUGAACCGUUUUUGGUUUCAGUUCAUCUUGAACCAGUCGAAAUUCCAGUUAGGUAAUCUCAAUUUGAAUUAAACCAGUUUGGUUUUAUCAAAUCAUCGGAAAAUCGCUCGGAGAUCCAUCUUUUUAAACAGUUUUUUUUUUUUUUUUUAUCUCCAAUGAUUUUUGGAUAAUUUUUCCAACCACUCUUACCAGUUGGGAGUUAGAUUUUCAAAAUUUGAAUCUGAAUUUAUGAUUGUCGUUCAUACAUAACUCAAUUCGAACAACUCUUGUCAGUUGAGAGUUAGAUUUUCAGAA